GAUGAACGCUGGCGGCGUGCUUAACACAUGCAAGUCGAACGAAGCAUUUGCGACAGAUUUUUUCGGAAUGAAGUUGCUUAUGACUGAGUGGCGGACGGGUGAGUAACGCGUGGGUAACCUGCCUUGUACUGGGGGAUAGCAGCUGGAAACGGCUGGUAAUACCGCAUAAGCGCACAAUGUUGCAUGACAUGGUGUGAAAAACUCCGGUGGUAUAAGAUGGACCCGCGUCUGAUUAGCUAGUUGGUGAGAUAACAGCCCACCAAGGCGACGAUCAGUAGCCGACCUGAGAGGGUGACCGGCCACAGUGGGACUGAGACACGGCCCAGACUCCUACGGGAGGCAGCAGUGGGGAAUAUUGCACAAUGGAGGAAACUCUGAUGCAGCGACGCCGCGUGAGUGAAGAAGUAAUUCGUUAUGUAAAGCUCUAUCAGCAGGGAAGAUAGUGACGGUACCUGACUAAGAAGCUCCGGCUAAAUACGUG
rnacentral:rRNA from 1 species